AACAUCUUGGACAGGUUCAUAGGAGAAAACCUAGUGGAUUGGCUUCUUUAGGCAAAGAGAGUGCAAACACAAUGAACUUACUGUUGGCCUUGCUUCAUCGAAUCAUGCUCGAAAUACCUUAUUGAACUGCAACAGGUCAAAUAAUCUAAUAUUCAAAAAUUUGCAUGUGAAAGAAUUCAAUACAAUGAAAAUCUGCGACGAUGAUUUAAGACAUCAUGCGGUUGGAUUGGUUUUAUUAGUUCAGACAAUAAGUCUAUUUCUUAAGUUGUGACAUUGAUAAUUUAGAUUAGUGUUCUUUAUUUGUUUAGAUUUAAUGAGAUAUAUUUUAUUUUGUGAAUUA